rnacentral:rRNA from 1 species
UACGUAGGGGGCAAGCGUUGUCCGGAAUCAUUGGGCGUAAAGCGCGUGUAGGCGGCCUUGUAAGUCCGUUCUGAAAGUCCGGGGCUCAACCCCGGGAGGCGGAUGGAUACUGCAAGGCUCGAGUACGGAAGAGGCGAGUGGAAUUCCCGGUGUAGCGGUGAAAUGCGCAGAUAUCGGGAGGAACACCAAUGGCGAAGGCAGCUCGCUGGGACGUUGCUGACGCUGAGACGCGAAAGCGUGGGGAGCAAACAGG